UAUCUUGCGCCCGUGUCUGGUGCCCCGACUCAACCCCGGGGCUGAAAAGGGAACCCGGUGCGAAUCCGGGGCUGCCCCGCAGCGGUAAGCGAGAACGAGCUCCACGAACAGCACUGGCCCUCCGGGCUGGGAAGCAGUGGGGUAUAGGAAGCCGGCGCAAGCCGGAGCGCUCGCAAGCCCGAAGACCUGCCGACACCUGGCUCCGGA
rnacentral:ncRNA from 2 species